AAUUAAAAAUUUACUGUUAGUAUUUUUUUAUAAAAAUUAAUAAAAAUAAUUUUAAUUAUAUUUAUUUUAAGUAAUUUUUAAUUAAAAAAUUUUUUUAGUUAUAGUUUAUUUGUAUUGUAAAAGAUUAUUGAAAUAUGAUUUAAUUUUUAAAUAGUAAAAUUAAUUUUUUGUACCUUGUGUAUCAGGGUUUAUUAAAUAAAUUUUAUAGAUUAUAAUUUUCUCGAAUUUAAGAGAGUAAAUAAAUUAUUUUUUUUAUUGUUAAAUAAAUAUUUAAAAUAAUUUAUUGGCAAUGAAAUGUUAUUCGUUCUUAAAAAUAUCUAGUUUAUUUAGAAAUGAAUUUAAUUCAGAUAUUAUUAUUUUAAUAAUUAUAUUUUUUAUAGUUAUUAAAUUUUUUAAUAUUAAUAAUUAAAGGGAUUAGCUUUUAAUUAAAAUUUUAUAAAUUUAUAAAUAGUUUAAAAAAUGUAAGUUUAGAAAUAUCUAUCAAUAAUAAUUUGUUAUAAUUAAUUUAUUUUGUUUAAUAUUUAUUUUAUAUAAUUUUAAUUUUUUUAUAAAUAAAUUAUUAUUAAUUAAUUAUAAUUAGUAAUAAUGAUAAAAUUAGUAUAAAUUUAAAGUUUAUAAAUAAUAUUUUUUGAAAGAUUAUUUUAAGGAAUUCGGCAAAAAUUUUACUCGCCUGUUUAACAAAAACAUGUCUUUUUGAUUUUUAUUUAAAGUCUAGCCUGCCCACUGAAUUUAUUUUUAAAUGGCCGCAGUAAUUUGACUGUGCAAAGGUAGCAUAAUCAUUAGUUUUUUAAUUAAAAGCUUGUAUGAAAGGUUGGACGAGGUAAAAUCUGUCUCUAUUUAAAUUAAAUUAGAAUUUAAUUUUUAAGUUAAAAAGCUUAAAUUUUUUUAAAAGACGAGAAGACCCUAUAGAGCUUUAUAUUUUUUUUUAUAAUUUUAAUUUGGAAAUAUUUAGAAUUUAUAUUAAAAAUUAUUUUAUUGGGGUAAUAGGAAGAUUAGUAAAAUUCUUUUUUUAAUAAAUCAUUUAUUUAUGAAUUAAUGAUCCAAAAAUUUUGAUUAUAUGAUUAAGUUACCUUAGGGAUAACAGCGUAAUUUUUUUAAAGAGUUCAUAUCGAUAAAAAAGUUUGCGACCUCGAUGUUGGAUUAAAAGUUAUUAUAGGUGCAGAAGCUUGUAAUUUUGGUCUGUUCGACCAUUAAACUUUUACAUGAUCUGAGUUCAGACCGGUGUAAGCCAGGUCGGUUUCUAUCUUUAAUUAAUUAAAAUAUUUUAGUACGAAAGGACCAAAUAUUUGAUAUAUUUAUAUUUAAUAUUUGAAUAUUAUUAAAUUA
rnacentral:rRNA from 1 species